rnacentral:rRNA from 1 species
UACGUAGGGGGCAAGCGUUGUCCGGAAUCAUUGGGCGUAAAGAGCGUGUAGGCGGCCCGGUAAGUCCGCUGUGAAAGUCCAGGGCUCAACCCUGGGAUGCCGGUGGAUACUGUCGGGCUCGAGUCCGGAAGAGGAGUGUGGAGUUCCUGGUGUAGCGGUGAAAUGCGCAGAUAUCAGGAGGAACGCCGGAGGCGAAAGCGAGUGACUGGCGCGUUCCUGACGCUGAGGUGCGAAAGCUAGGGGAGCAAACAGG